GCAGCGAAACGCGAUAGUUAAUGUGAAUUGCAGAAUUCAGUGAAUCAUCGAGUCUUUGAACGCACAUUGCGCCCAUUGGUAUUCCUUUGGGCAUGUCUGUUUGAGCGUCAUUACAACACCUCAGCGCAUGCUGGUUUUGAGCUGUGAGGGGCUUUUCAAGCCUCUUCCGCUUUAAAGUUGUAAGCUCUGCUGGCUCUCAGCCUGACCGAAAACAUAGUAAACUUCUUGCCUUGUUUAUGGAAUGGUUGUGGGGUUCGGCCUGAACAACACCUUCAAUUCUUAAGGUUUGACCUCAGAUCAGACAAGGAUACCCGCUGAACUUAAGCAUAUCAAUAAGCGGAGGAGAAGAAACCAACAGGGAUUGCCUCAGUAACGGCGAGUGAAGCGGCAAUAGCUCAAAUUUGAAAUCUGGAGCCUUCGGCUUCCGAGUUGUAAUUUGAAGAGGAUGUUUCGGUUGCGAUCUGGGCCUAAGUUCCUUGGAACAGGACGUCAUGGAGGGUGAGAAUCCCGUACAUGGCUGCAGGUUUGCUUCUAUGUGAAACUCCUUCGAAGAGUCGAGUUGU
rnacentral:rRNA from 1 species